rnacentral:rRNA from 1 species
AGCAGCCGCGGUAAUUCCAGCUCCAAUAGCGUAUAUUAAAGUUGCUGCAGUUAAAAAGCUCGUAGUUGAAUUUCGGGACCAUCAUGUCGGUCGUGCCUCGGUACGUACUGGCAUCGUCGGUUUCUCCCUUCUGACGAACCAUGAUGUCAUUUAUUUGGUGUUGUGGGGAAUCAGGACUGUUACUUUGAAAAAAUUAGAGUGUUUAAAGCAGGCUCACGCUUGAAUACAUUAGCAUGGAAUAAUGAAAUAGGACGUUUGAUUCUAUUUUGUUGGUUUCUAGGAUCGACGUAAUGAUUAAUAGGGAUAGUUGGGGGCAUUAGUAUUCAAUUGUCAGAGGUGAAAUUCUUGGAUUUAUUGAAGACUAACUACUGCGAAAGCAUUUGCCAAGGAUGUUUUCAUUAAUCAAGAACGAAAGUUAGGGGAUCGAAGACGAUCAGAUACCGUCGUAGUCUUAACCAUAAACUAUGCCGACUAGGGAUCGGAUGAUGUUAAUUUUUUAAUGACUCA